rnacentral:miRNA from 1 species
CAGGAUUCUUGCUGGUAUCU